UUCUUAUUGGAUGAUGACUGAUACAUGUCAUGUUCUAAUUGGAUGUCAACUCUAUGAAAGAUGAAAUAAAUUGUUGUUUUCAUUGAUCAAUCAGAACAUGACAUGUGGCAAUCAUAAUCC
rfam:Glycine soja cultivar W05 scaffold1033_6, whole genome shotgun sequence.